rnacentral:rRNA from 1 species
ACGCUGGCGGUAUGCUUACACAUGCAAGUCGAACGAAAGUUUUUAACUUUAGUGGCGAACGGGUGCGUAAUACGUGAGAAUCUGCCCUUAGGAGGAGUAUAACUGCUGGAAACGGCUGCUAACACUCCAUAUGUCGAGAGAUGAAAUAAUUUAUUGCCUAGGGAUGAGCUCGCGCCUGAUUAGCUAGUUGGUGAGGUAAUGGCUCACCAAGGCCACGAUCAGUAGCUGGUUUGAGAGAACGAUCAGCCACACUGGGACUGAGACACGGCCCAGACUCCUCCGGGAGGCAGCAGUGAGGAAUUUUCCGCAAUGGGCGAAAGCCUGGCGGAGCAAUACCGCGUGAGUGAUGAAGGAUUUUGGUCUGUAAACCUCUUUUCUCAAGAAAGAAGUUCUGACGGUACUUAAGGAAUAAGCAUCGGCUAACUCCGUGCCAGCAGCCGCGGUAAUACGGGGGAUGCAAGCGUUAUCCGGAAUCAUUGGGCGUAAAGCGCCUGUAGGUUGUUUAAUAAGUCUGUUGUUAAAGACUAGGGCUUAACCCUAGAAAAGCAAUGGAAACU